GUCCUGUGAUGACCUGUGGCGGAAGGUAAACCGAAGGUGACUGCGGUUAACGUCCUCGAUGGGAAUGGCCACCUUCAAGAAUUGAAAAAGAAGUUUAAGCACUGUUAUCAAUAUCAUCCAGCGUAACAGCUUUAUUCAACUGGAGCUAUCAGAUAUGAAAUUCCAGAUCAUGGGAGGGAGAGUUUGAAGAAGGAAGAACCACCAAUAGAAAGCGGUCCCCAAAGAGGUAUCGGGGAUGGCACCCAGACAGGAGCACAUGUACCACUGCCCAGAAUGUGCAUUUCACUAGACAAGUGACCACAAAAGAACAAGAAAGUCCAAGAAUAACCCCAGAUGGCCCGGGUCACUUUCCCUGUGUCUGCUACUGCUCCACCGCCACACUGGACUUGAGAGGAAGAUGCCUUGUUUAUUUUCUUCGCACAAGACCUUUCCCCAGAAGGGUCUCUCUGUAGCCCAGCUCUGCGUUCAGGCGGAGCACAGAGGACUUUUAGGAUGGUGAAGCUACCCAGUGAGAGACUACAAUGGUGAAUAUACGGUAUUAUUCAUUUGUCGAAACCCACAGAAGGCACAACAUCAAGAAUGAACGCUAAUGUAAACUACAGACUUCACAGGGCGACGAUGUGUCAAUGCGGUUCACCAACUGUAAUCAAUGUACCAAUCUAUGGUGGAUACUGAUAAUGGGGAGGCAGGGGGAAGGAAGGAGAAAUAUAUAGGAACUGUCUGUA
rnacentral:lncRNA from 10 species